rnacentral:rRNA from 1 species
GACAAACGCUGGCGGCAUGCCUAACACAUGCAAGUCGAACGGACAGAACAGGGAAGCUUUUCGGAGUGGAACUGGAAAGUUAGUGGCGGAUGGGUGAGUAACGCGUGGACAACCUACCUUGUAAAGGGGAAUAACCUCGAGAAAUCGAAGCUAAUACCCCAUAAUAACCUUGCUUCGCAUGAAGUAAGGAGGAAAGGCGGCCUUAGCCCUGUCGUUACAAUGUGGGUCUGCGUCUGAUUAGCUAGUUGGUGGGGUAAAGGCCUACCAAGGAGACGAGCAGGUGCCGGACGGAGGGAGUGAUAGGCGGCAUUGGCACUGGAACGCGGACCAAGCUACUGCGGGAGGGAGCAGUGGGGAAUGUGCCGCAAUGGGCGGGAGCCUGACACAGUAAUGCCGCGUGAGAGAAAGCGGCCUUGGGGUUGUGAAACUCGGUCCUUAGCGGAGAGAGGGUGUUGUAUUAAAUGACGAUACUAGGACGGUAGUUGGGGAGGAAGCCCCGGCUAACUAUGUG